AUGUGGAGGUACAACCAGUGAACCAAGGAUGAGGCCAGGGAGGCCCAGCAGAGAAUGGGGGCAAUGUGAAGCUAUGACCAGAGGCUGGGUGUGCCCUGGGAGGGGACAAGGGGCCCCAAACCCCUGUAGGCAGCACAGGACAAGAGCAGCAGAGAGAGCAUGGGUCAGAAAACGGAAAGCAGGCCCCACAUCGUUUGACAACAACAGAGAGUUCAAGCUCUCUGCAGUGACGAGCAGGUAUUCACAGGAACUGCAUAAAAAUGGGGGACCAUGAGGAGUGCCCAUCCAGUUUGGCACUGGCCUCUUGGAAGCAGUGGAGGCCAGGAGCCCAAGACAGGCUAGCACUGAAGAGGUUACGUUCUAUUUCUUAGCUUUGAAGGGAGAAAACAAUCCCUUAAGUCUCAGAACAUUCUAGAACACCAGAGACACUCAGAAAUUCUAUGUCUACUGGAAGGGUUUUUCCUCUAGGGGGGUGCAUUUGGAGAGAAGCAUAAGCGAGUGGGCACAGGAUCAUGAAGCCUCCCCAUGCCCACUCUGCAGCCUGCUCCAGGAAGGCCAUUCUACAUUCAGGGACCCCGGGCCGGAGACUGCAGGCCAAAGAGCUAAGGAGUGGGCCACUCUGGGAUGGAUAUGAGGCACCGGAACCAAACUCAGUGACCAGCAGUCUCCUAAGAGCAGACAUGUAAGUGUGGGAAACUAUGAGGGUACUUGGGAAUGUGCACAGAAAACCUACACCAUUUUUUAAUUCCGUUUUCCAUGAACUUUGUGAAUUGCAUUUGUAUUCCAGGAAGUGGUGACAGCUUGUAUUUGAUUCUGGGAGAUGUGCACACCAGGGAAAGCCACAGGGAAGAAGAAAAGCUGAAAAGUAACAGAGAAGGCACAGGCACGAGAGUGAGGCCACCGUGGGAAGUGCAGUCACUUAGAACGACUGGGGUGAACAGGACGGGAUCAGCUUCGAGAAGCCAAGAGCUGCUGCUCGACCGUGCAGGACGAAGGUGAGAUGCCGGAGUGGACACACAGAAAACUCCUUGUUAUCAAUGCAGACACACUUCUUCCUGACCCAACACUGCCUGUUGUCAUCUGAGCUUCCAACCUCUAUCCAUGUGCUUUCUCGAAAGGAAAAGUCGGGAUAACCUCACAAAGACACAUACCCAGAGGCCAGAUUACCCCGUUCUUUCUCUUCCGACAUUUCCACAUCUGGUUAUUUAUGGAGUCAUUUACGCGCCUUUGCCUUAGCAGGGGCAAGCCCUAACCACCGGUGACGCCUUCGGUUCCCCUCCACGUGUCCAGUUCUAAGAGAAAAUCACUCAUCACAAUUACACAUGAACUUUCUUGAGGUGAAGAGAGACACACAUUUUUCUGCUUCCCCACCCCCUCCCAACUCCAAAUAUCCAGCAGAAACAUCCGAAAGCCGGUUCUAAUUGAGCCAUUUUCUGAACGCCGGCCGUGAAUAGGCUGGGUGCGGAUCGGACAGAAAGGACUAUGAAAUGGGUCAUUACUGGGAACGGCAGCCCUCGGAGAGAGGUGAUUGAGGAGUGUUGAGAGUGCAAUUGAGGAAGUAUAAUUUGCUGCAAGUCUACAUUAUGCUUGGCCUUUAGACUAUUUAGUAGUAAGCUGAGAUUGAGAGGACUUAAAAUACAAUGGGAGGCUAAAAUAGAAAUAGCCAUAAUUAAAAUAUAUACCAGCUCUGGAACAUUUUAAUAAAGCUGACCUUCAGAUUGAAAAUCA
rnacentral:lncRNA from 1 species